rnacentral:rRNA from 1 species
UACGAAGGACCCGAGCGUUAUCCGGAUUUAUUGGGUUUAAAGGGUGCGUGGGCGGAUUAGUAAGUCAGUGGUGAAAGCCCAUCGCUUAACGGUGGAAUUGCCAUUGAUACUGCUAGUCUUGAGUAUGGUUGAGGUGGGCGGAAUGUGUCAUGUAGCGGUGAAAUGCUUAGAUAUGACACAGAACACCAAUUGCGAAGGCAGCUCGCUAAGCCAUAACUGACGCUGAUGCACGAAAGCGUGGGGAGCAAACAGG